UUGCAAACUCCGAAUACCAGUAAGUAAUAUCCGGGAGACACACGGCGGGUGCUAACGUCCGUCGUGAAGAGGGAAACAACCCAGACCGCCAGCUAAGGUCCCAAAGUUAUAGCUAAGUGGGAAACGAUGUGGGAAGGCUCAGACAGCAGGAUGUUGGCUUAGAAGCAGCCAUCAUUUAAAGAAAGCGUAAUAGCUCACUGGUCGAGUCGGCCUGCGCGGAAGAUUUAACGGGGCUAAGCUAUACACCGAAGCUGCGGCAAUAUGAAUUCGUUCAUAUUGGGUAGGGGAGCGUUCUGUAAGCCGUUGAAGGUGCAUUGUAAAGUGUGCUGGAGGUAUCAGAAGUGCGAAUGCUGACAUGAGUAACGAUAAAGGGAGUGAAAAACUCCCUCGCCGGAAGAUCAAGGGUUCCUGUCCAACGUUAAUCGGGGCAGGGUAAGUCGACCCCUAAGGCGAGGCCGAAAGGCGUAGUCGAUGGGAAACGGGUUAAUAUUCCCGUACUUCUUAU
rnacentral:rRNA from 1 species